GAAUGGACAUCGACAUAGAGAGAUCAGCUCCACACUUAUACUCUGCCACUCAACUUCCCCAUGUGACUUGAGGAUCACUCUAACUCCAAAACAUAGCAAGCUCGCGGAACAUCAUUCAUGCAAAGUAUUCCAAGGAGCCCCUUGAAGCAACAGAAUGGAUUUCUCUUCUAUGGUGGAAUGGCACCCUGGAUGAUUAAAACUGUAGCAGCAAACAAAACCUCCAUCAAAUAUUCCUGAAAACAAAGUCAAGUUAUAUGUCUAAAGUACUAGCGUCUGCUUAAAGAAAUGACAAGAUGAAGUCUUUCACAAAGUAAGCAUUCAAUGUAUGAUUUCUCUGCUAUAUAAACCUGGUUGUUCAUACAGUUUCUAUGACAUAAUUGGCCACGACC
rnacentral:antisense_RNA from 1 species